rnacentral:misc_RNA from 1 species
AAGUCGUAACAAGGUUUCCGUAGGUGAACCUGCGGAAGGAUCAUUAACACGUAUCCAACGUUAAACCCUGUGACAUUUACUCAACGUUGAUCCCGGUGGAUAAGUCUGUUCACACAGCGAUUUUUGCACUGCAAUUGAGGAAGGACCUCUGUAGGAGGAGAGACUUCUGGCGGGAAAAUGCCUGGGCUGCAUAUCGCUCGCUGUAUCGUGGCUUGUUUUCCCUAGGCAAUCAGUGGGUGACAGUGUCAUCGAUUGUCGAAGGAAUCGCUUAACGAUCACUGGAGGGCGAUCACCGACCGGUGGAUCAAGUCACUGGGCUUCCUACUCGCCCUCUCUUUCUUUUGCCGCUCCGCGCUAACACGCCGGGCAAUCAAAACGUAACUUACAAUGGAUAUCUUGGUUCUC